ACAACACUGAUUGCCUUACUGAGCUCACUUGGUUGUUUGAGGCCCAAAGAGGAAAAUGAAUGUAUAAAGCCACUGAGACUCAGAGAAUUAAGAAACAGAUCACACAUGUUGAAGAACAUCCUCCUAACGGCUUCUGCUUGUAAACUAGCUGUGAACAAGGCACUAUUUUGCUAUAAAAGCAAUCUUAGAAAUUAACCAGCACAGAGUCAAUGGUCAAUGGCAGUCUGAAGGCAGCUUCCAGCAGGCACAAGCAAACUUUGGAAUGAUGGCAGAGAGAAAAUUGCCCAGGCAACUUCUACUACUAUUUCAGUGAGAGAUGAGUCUUAAGUUUGAAGAUACAGCCCUGAACAAGAUAGAAAAGUUCCCUGCCCAUGAGGAGGUGUCUUUCUCCAGGGGGAAGCUGACAAUAAAU